rnacentral:rRNA from 1 species
ACAGAGGGGGCAAGCGUUGCUCGGAAUCACUGGGCGUAAAGGGCGCGUAGGCGGGAUGGCAAGUCAGUCGUGAAAUCUCUCGGCUCAACCGAGAAACGUCGGCUGAUACUGCCGUUCUUGAGGGAUGCAGAGGAGACUGGAAUUCCCGGUGUAGCGGUGAAAUGUGUAGAGAUCGGGAGGAACACCGGUGGCGAAGGCGAGUUCCUGGACAAGUCCUGACACUGAGGCACGAAAGCCGGGGGAGCAAACAGGA